rnacentral:lncRNA from 1 species
AUCUUCACUAACUCUGGGUCCUCAUGCUGUUUCUGAGCCACCUGCUCCAGAAACACGGGUGCCACUCUCAUCUGGGCUACCAAAGCACCUGUACCAGACAACUCCAACUGUAGACCUUCAUUCAUGAGCUCGAAGAACUCCCUUACUACUGGCCUCCUCUCUGCUGAAAUAUGGGACAAACUGCCAAGUGAUUUCCGGCUUAAAGCGU